AGCCCCAAAAUAUGAACAAUAUGAAAAACCCCAACAAAAUAAUUAAAAGAAAAACCCAUUUUAAUUCAACAAAACCACAAUACAAAUCAUAUUUGUGUUGAAUCGAAAAUUACCUAUGAGAGAUUGGAAAAUUUGGAUUAGAAUCUUCCAAUUUGGAAGGGGUUCCUGACACACCCCGAUCGAGAUCAAGGCAUGCUGGCC
rnacentral:lncRNA from 1 species